GAUGAACGCUGACAGAAUGCUUAACACAUGCAAGUCAACUUGAACUUCGGUUUGGGUGGCGGACGGGUGAGUAACGCGUAAAGAACUUGCCUCACAGUUAGGGACAACAUUUGGAAACGAAUGCUAAUACCUGAUAUUAUGAUUUUAGGGCAUCCUAGAAUUAUGGAAGCUAUAUGCGCUGUGAGAGAGCUUUGCGUCCCAUUAGCUAGUUGGAGAGGUAACGGCUCACCAAGGCGAUGAUGGGUAGCCGGCCUGAGAGGGUGAACGGCCACAAGGGGACUGAGACACGGCCCUUACUCCUACGGGAGGCAGCAGUGGGGAAUAUUGGACAAUGGACCAAGAGUCUGAUCCAGCAAUUCUGUGUGCACGAUGAAGUUUUUCGGAAUGUAAAGUGCUUUCAGUUGGGAAGAAAAAAAUGACGAUACCAACAGAAGAAGUGACGGCUAAAUACGUG
rnacentral:rRNA from 1 species